rnacentral:misc_RNA from 1 species
GCGUUAAUCGCUUGCAUCGAACGACUGCCGUCGUCGCCUCGAGAAGUCAUAUCCCUCGGGCGUGUCAUACUCGAGCAACGCCGGCGUCUGUGAGGAAUGC